GGGAAUCUUCGGCAAUGGGCGAAAGUCUGACCGAGCAACGCCGCGUGAAUGAAGAAGGCCUUCGGGUUGUAAAGCUCUGUCCUCAAGGAAGAUAAUGACGGUACUUGAGGAGGAAGCCCCGGCUAACUACGUGCCAGCAGCCGCGGUAAUACGUAGGGGGCUAGCGUUAUCCGGAAUUACUGGGCGUAAAGGGUGCGUAGGUGGUUUCUUAAGUCAGAGGUGAAAGGCUACGGCUCAACCGUAGUAAGCCUUUGAAACUGGGAAACUUGAGUGCAGGAGAGGAGGGUGGAAUUCCUAGUGUAGCGGUGAAAUGCGUAGAUAUUAGGAGGAACGCCAGUUGCGAAGGCGGCUCUCUGGACUGUAACUGACACUGAGGCACGAAAGCGUGGGGAGCA
rnacentral:rRNA from 1 species